GAGCCCCCCACCCGGGCACUCCGCCCAGCUGCCUCCCCAACGGGCUAUAAAAGCCCACAGCCAGAUGCAGGGCAGCUUUCCUGGACCCCGGGCUUGCACAGGUGACCUAAGGGACAGAAAUGCAGCUGCCAUGAACGUUUCGAGGUCCAGCGACAGUCUUUACAAAAAGUAAAUAGGGGAAGUGGUGAGAAAAUGAUCGAGCUGAAACUGGAAGGGACGCUGGAGAAGUAGAAGGUUUGUUUUCUGUUAGCGCAAGCAGAGAGAUGGGAAGUGAACGAGACAGCUGCUCCAAAGAGACAGACAAACUGACUGUUCCUGACAAGGAUGCUACAAUCUGACUAACUAGAGCUCAGACGCACGCAUAAUACUCAGGAAAAUUCAUUUUGGAACUCCCAAUACACCGUGACGAGGGCCCUUGAAGGGGUAAUUAAAAUGCAUUGAGUGGCGACUGCACCUGUUUAGAAGGGAGUAUGCUGGUAA